rnacentral:lncRNA from 1 species
UAUAUAUAUAUAUAUUGUUUUACAUUAAAAUAGAUUAUUUUAAUUAAUAUUUUUAUUUUAUUUUAUUAUUCAAAAAAAAAAAAGAAAGAGAGAGGAAUGGAAAAACUGGUACAAAAGCCUUGCGAGGUCUCAAAAAGCAUUCAGGGGAAGAAUGUCUGUCGAGGCUUUGCAGCGGUUGUCACGGGCUCGAUGGGAGUUUCGGGUCGUGACAUUUUUCAAGGAGGAAAGUGAGCUAAUUUUGGUGAUUUUAGUGAGUUAUUGGCUGAUAUUUAAUGGUUAGAAAUGUUGGAGAGAAAAUGGGACAAUUUAGAGCUAAAAUGGAGCACGUUAG